rnacentral:rRNA from 1 species
UACGUAGGUGGCAAGCGUUGUCCGGAUUUACUGGGCGUAAAGGGCGUGCAGGCGGUCUGUUAAGUGCAGGGUGAAAGCUCCCGGCUCAACUGGGAGAGGUCCUUGCAUACUGGCGGACUUGAGGGGGGUAGAGGAAAGUGGAGUUCCCGGUGUAGUGGUGAUAUGCGUAGAUAUCGGGAGGAACACCUGUGGCGAAGGCGGCUUUCUGGGCCCUACCUGACGCUGAGACGCGAAAGCGUGGGGAGCGAACCGG